CUCAACAUUGACUUCACCUGACCACACUAACGCUCUAGUGGCUGAAUGGACAAAUCUCCAUCACCACUCUCCAAAAAUACAGUGGAACGCCUUCCCAGAAGAGUGGAGGUUAUCGUAACAGAAAAGGGCUGGAUUAACAUUGGAUUUUGUCAUAGGUGUGGCUCAUCCGGUGUCCACAAACUUUUGAGCAUAUAGUGAAUACUGUACAUCGCACGUCAUGCACACGUUGAAUACGGAGAAUACCGUAAUCCUGUAAGAUAGUUUUAACACUAAACAUCAUUAGGCCAGUCAAAUUAGCACAAUUCGCUCCAACACAUCCCUGAAAAGGUGUUACAUGAAACCAUUUAGAAGUGUAACAUCUACUGCAGUCUUUUACAUGUAAUAAGGAAUAAUGAAAGUAGCAACCUGCUAGGAAGGUUCGCACCCUUAAAUUACCCCCGUGUGUAAUCUGUAAUCCAUUUCCUCAAGUGUAAAGUAUGCAAUCUGCACAAGUAGUUGCACACUGACAGCCAAUAUGUUGAUAAUAGCAUGUCCUCAUUACCAAGGUAGCUCGUCCAGCCUUCUUUAUUAUCGGUGUGAUUCAUAGGGAUCUGCUCGAACCAUAAUUAUGAGAGAAGAGCCUAUGACCAAUUAUUCAUAAGUCCCAUUCCUGAAGCUGAUGAGGCAGUGCCAUGUCCAUUUCACCCAGCAAGCCUGAUGAGAGGCGCAAAGGUGCUGGAUCCUCUGCAAAGGACAGUUCAAAUGCUACUGGGAUGUGAACAAAGAUCCCAGAUAGGGGCAAAAUUUGAUUAACAGACCUAUACUCGCACAGGUAGCGCCCUGAAUCUUUGCUGUUGGUGUCCUCCAGCAUUUUCUCGAGAACAAUCUUUGCCUCGUGGUUUGGAGAACACUAGUGUUCAAUGACAGGAACUGAAGGUGAAGUAACAUAUCCAAUAGUUUUUCUAACGUGACUCAAACUCAGGUACGACAGUGUGGUUGGAUUCCUCUAAUCUGAUUGGUGUGAAGGUAUGGAUUCAUUUAAAAAAUUAAUUAAUAAAUAACGGGAGCUCUGACAGUAGUGUUGACUGCAAGCAAACUUGGCCUAAUGCCGUCAUUAUAAACUGCUACCGUUUCUUUAAUAACAAUUUACACAUAAACAGAUUGAAAAAUGUUCAAGUGUUUAUAUGGUGAAGUGUUGUGUUAGGAGAUGUUUAUUUAAUACUUUUUUUUAAAGGAGUCUCCAGUGUUAGCACUUUGUACCAGUCAGAGGUAAAGCUGUAACUUAAGUUCCCUCUCAAAGGGAACUUCGACGUUGCGUUUAGCAUAACACUAUGGGAAGGCUAAACGCAACGUCUCGGUUACAUGCGUAACCCAGACGUUCCCUUUCAAAGGGAACUUCGACGUUGCGUUUAGCCUUCCCAUAGUGGAAUAGGGUUGCGUGCGUAACCCAGAUGUUUUCUUUUUCUAUGUACUGUAAGUCUUAAGAAGAGACGGUUUUGUGGUUGCUUGAUAACCUGACAAGCUGCAUUUUUUUUUGUCUUCAAGACAGUUGGCGAGGAAAUGAGAGAACCUGUUUCCAGCCAUUAUAAUGUAAAUGAUACCAGGAACUAACCUGUUUCCACAGGACACUCCACAACAGUAAAUGUGCAGGACGUAUUGUUUUACAAUAAACAAAUUAUGCAAUUUAAAAAUGACUCUGGUACCGUGGAAUAAAACGCUUCAGGACUUGCUGUUAUUAGAAAAUGAUCAACUUCGGGAUGGUAACUGUAACACUGUGUGGGUAUUUUCCUAUGACCACACCCCACUGUAUUUUAUUCAUUACUUUAGUUCUAACUGUUGUUUAUUAACAUUAAGAAAGUUGACCAGAAUAGAAUUCCAUUAAUGACAUUUUACUGUUGAAAUUUGAGAUGAUCAAGGCUAAAGAUAAGAACCAAAUGCUGACAGCAACUCUGCAUUAAGGCUCUCAUCCAAGAUGGGGACAGAUGUUUUCAUUUCUUCACUGCUUUUUACUAGCAGAGUGCCUCAGGUUCAGUUCUCUUGUGCUCUCUGACCCAAGGAGACAAACAGAGCUUCU
ensembl:lncRNA